GUGUCAGCCGCCGCGGUAAUACCAGCUCUCCGAGUGGUGUGGAUGUUUAUUGGGCCUAAAGCAUCCGUAGCUGGCCAGGCCAGUCCCCUGUUAAACCCACCGAAUUAAUCGUUGGAUCGCGGGGGAUACUGCCCGGCUAGGGGACGAGAGAGGCAGACGGUAUUUUCGGGGUAGGGGUGAAAUCCUAUAAUCCCGGGAAGACCACCAGUGGCGAAGGCUGUCUGCUAGAACGCGCCCGACGGUGAGGGAUGAAAGCUAGGGGAGCAAACCGGAUUAGAAACCCCGGUAGUCC
rnacentral:rRNA from 1 species